CCCAGUUGCAACGGAAAGGCAAUGUAUUCCAUUGAGCCCGUUUCAGCCAUAUGUGGAAUCUGUUUGACGGAUAAUUACGAACAUUUCCGUGGUCGUAACGUUAACGGGGAAAAAUUACAGGCACAAGCAAGAGUAUGAAAGAGUCGCAGGAGUAAAAUGAACGCAAUCAAUCAAGCGAGAUUUAAGUGACAAGUGGAUUCGGCACCCCUCAAACACAGGCAAUAGAUGUGUUUGUGCCUAGGCUAGCCUAAAUCUUGGACUAUGCAGCGGGUGUGAAAUGAAUGUCUGACUUUGAACAAGGAAAACAGAAAGGAGAACGCCGCACACUGCUGCUCGGAGAGGUUGCCCCUGAGGAGUGGAGCCCCAGUCUGAGGCAGGAGGACCCAGAGUCCACACACAUUAAAAAGGAACAGGAGGAAGAGGAACUCGGGACCAGUCAGGAGGAAGAGCAGCUUCAAGGACUGGGGGAGGCUGAUAUCAUAGAGUUUUUAUAUUCUCUCCUGCCUGUGUGGAAAAUGUAUUGUGAUCAGGAGAACCCACCUCAGCCCUCACAUCUUCACCAAACCCAAACUGUGGAGGAUAGAGAGAGGGACUCUCUACCCACCAACACAACUGAAGAAAACAGACCCUGAUGGAGAGGAUUACAGAGUAUCAGAACCAAUCAGACUCUCAACCCCUCUCUGCAGUAAAUCCAGACUGUUCUGCAGCUCAGUGAAAACAGGGAAAGUGAUGAGGUGGAGAGUAGAGGACCACUGUCAGGGUCUAAGACACUCAAAUCAAAGAGAAACUGGACAAUGAAAGAAAGCUGUGCUGGAGGCAGGAUGGCCUCAACAAUAUAGAUCACCUGCAAAUUCACAGUAAAGAAACAUUUUAUUCUCAUAAAAACAUGAGUCCCACAGGGGAAAAAUCAUAGAUGUCAAGAAUGUGGAAAACAAUUGACUCAAAGACGAACCCUGAGGCCACACAUGAGAAUUCACACAGGGGAGAAGUCAUGUCAGUGCAAAGAAUGUAGGAAAUGCUUCACACGUAUGGGAUGCCUGACAGAUCAUAUGAAAACUCAUAUAGGAGCGAAACCAUAUCGAUGUUAAAGAACGUGGAAAAAUGCUUCAGCCAUAGUGAACACCCUCUCCAAACAUAUUGUUUGAUGAUCCACAGACGGGAGAAAUAAUAGCAGUGCCAAAAUAAGAAGAAACACCUCACACAGAAGGUAUACUUGACUACUGUUGAGAAUUCAUACAGGGGAUAAAUCACACAGGUGCCAAGAAUGUAGCAAAUGCUUCAACCCUAGUGACACCCCGACUAGGCAUAUGAAAAUAAAAACUAGUGAAGACUAUCGUGAAGGAGGGGAUACACCUGCGGGAUCCACAACAGAGUCCAAGGCCUUCCUCCACCCUGUCCUCCGUCACCCAGAAACCGAUAAGUGGUCGAGAUGUCGAUUCGUUAGUAGGCGAAUGGAAGAGGCUCCUCCCCUCCUCAAUAGCCACCUUUCAUGGAGGAUAGUCAUGUGAAACCUGCCAGAGUCCUUCGGAAGGGUUUUGAAAUCUGCCGCACCGCCUUUGAAUCUGCUUUUUUGUCAGAGGAGAAAAGCAUGCGUUUAAAAACAAUAUGCUACUUCCCUUCUCGCCGCCUCUCCUCGAUUGACCUUUUUCAAAAGGAGGCGAGACGACAGAGCGGAUGCAGGAGGCGAGCAAAUCCAAUUGAGAGAAUGCCCAAGUCACAGGAAGGGGGAGGGCAGGUUGGGGCGGUGUGCAUCAAUCUAUGGAACUUCUUUGAUUAACGGUUUCAGAGAAAUAUGCUUCAAAGUAGAGUAAUUGCCCUUUUGGACCUUUUGAUAGCUGGAUUUACAGUUGGACCUUAGCUGGAUUUUGUUCAUCAUGAUACAAGUAACUGCACAUAAAAUCUAUGACUGAAUGUUUUAAGACAAACCUAACUUUUUGUUAGCUUGUUCAAAGAGAUAUUUAUAUAGUUUUGUUCAUAUUGCAGUUCUGUUGAAUUUUCUAUUUUGUAAUUAUUACAAAACUAUUAUUUAUGGCUAACAGUUAUUACAUUUAGAACAUCUUUACAGCCACAGUUCCGUCUUGUGUACACGUUUUGAACAUCUACAGUGUUGAAAAAGUUGUACCAAAUUGAGAAAACAAACAUAUGUGUAAGGUGGAAGCAAUAUUGGGGGAACGUGCCCAUACACUACCCUGAUUAAAGCAGCAAAAUGAUCACACAUUCCAGGAGGUUUACCAUAUUUUUCUUUAUUUCAACAGAAAUGGAGUCAGAGCCUUGCAGCAUACCAGACAAAGCUUAAAUAAAACAGUUCACAGAAAGAUGAGUACAAAACUAAAACUGCUUAGAAAAUACUUACCUAGGCCAUUCCUGGUUUGAGUGAUAAAAUCAAUCAUUACACGUAGGGAGAGGUGGGCAUAACUAAGGGUGAAAGAAAUACAGGGCCUUUCAAAUGGGUAGUACUGACAACAAACUCCUGUCUGUCCAGUUUAUCCAUACGGUUUGGUUUUAACCAGCAUAGUGUGACAUCGAACAAGAGGACAAAGCAAUUGAGAGUAUUUUUUUGUUUUCUUACAUUGAAACAUGACAAAAUCCUUAAAGUUGGCAUUUGGUGGUGGUGAGGGAAGGGAGUGGUUAUGAUCUUUCUCUCUGAAAUGUAAUAAAAC